GACUGGGGUCGGGGACGGAAAAUAUGAUCCCCGCGCCCAAACCCAUCCCAUUCCUACGUAAGAGUACAUAUCAUGGUUAUAGGCAAACCCUUAAACUCAGCCUCUUAAUUAGGUUUAUUGUGUGGUUAUUCAGAUACUCUCAUACUCUCAAUGUCUGGCGUUGUAGCAUCGUAUAUUGAUAGCAGAUAACUUGGGGCUCCGGUGGCAGUGGGCGAGCCAACGCAUUCGCGAACCUAUGCUUAUGUUCGAUGGGCACCCUGCCCUCAUGCAAGCCGGUAAAAAGAACCUGUGUGCCCUACCUUAGGAGGGAGACCGAGCCUACCACCAUCGCCCUCUCCCCGAACUGCUGCGGAAACGGUGUGGAUUCGGCGUGGGCAAGCCGAAACGAAGCGACGCUGGCUCCAUACCGGGAACAGGGAAGCAAGCCUUGGAACUUCGAGUUCUAGCGAGGAAGACCAGAGUGAUAACUGAACUCAAAACAGGCAUAGGGUGUUCGGCAAUUGAGUUGAGAUCAGCCCGUGAUGAGACAUCAAUGCACACAAUUUGUAACAUAACCAUCAAGACUUAGUCUCUCCCUCCCUUUGCCAUAGACUGCUCUGAGAGAUACCUGCA